AACUCUCCUUCCUCUCCCUCCUUCCAGGGUUGCCGUGCAGGGAGUGUCAGCCACGUCUAGCGCACAGUCCCAGGCCCCAGGGCGAAGACGGCCAGGGGAAAUGGGGCUCAGGGCUUGCUAAGCAAACGCAUCACUGGUGGUCUCCAGCGCCUGCGGAGCAUCAAGCUUAUGAAGAUUUCCAAGUAAGACUUUAUUGUUGACCCUUGUUGAAGAGAACUCUACUUGGCUUCUUUCCUGGCUUUCCUAAAUUGUUCACAUACAAGAUAAACUACCGUCAUUCAGACUUACAGAAGUGAGAAGACAAGCUGAACCAAAUGUAAAAUGGUAGCAAUUUACAGACAGUGUCUCCUUCUGUCGUCCAGGCUGAAGUGCAGCAGCGCGAUCUUGGCUCACUGCAACCUCCACUUCCCCAGCUCGAGCGAUUCUCCUGCCUCAGCCGCUGGAGUAGCUGGGACUACUAGGCGCGGGCAACCACACUUAGAGAAUUUUUGUAUGUUUUGUAGAGAUGAAGUUUCGUCAUGUUGUCCAAGCUAGUGGGAGCUAAAAUGGUACAAUCUUU
rnacentral:antisense_RNA from 1 species